rnacentral:rRNA from 1 species
CAGCAGCCGCGGUAAUACGUAGGUGGCAAGCGUUGUCCGGAAUUAUUGGGCGUAAAGCGCGCGCAGGUGGUUUAAUAAGUCUGAUGUGAAAGUCCACGGCUCAACCGUGGAGGGUCAUUGGAAACUGUUAAACUUGAGUGCAGGAGAGAAAAGUGGAAUUCCUAGUGUAGCGGUGAAAUGCGUAGAGAUUAGGAGGAACACCAGUGGCGAAGGCGGCUUUUUGGCCUGUAACUGACUCUGAGGCGCGAAAGCGUGGGGAGCAAACAGGAUUAGAUACCCGAGUAGUCCCUGUCUCUUAUAC